CCUGUGUCAAUCGAUUUCUGUUCAGACUGUGUUUGUACUUUUGGCGGACAGUUCCGUGGCUAUUAGUAUGCAAAACUAACGCAGGGUUGUAUACUGUUGAGCUGGCACACCGUCCACAGAAUAUCACCAAAUGUACAAGUGAUUGCUGACUUGGACCAUGGACCAAGGUGUUUGUCUGCCACCAUCGGGAAGAGAUCACCAGUAACAAGCUCAUAGUGAUCUGAAUAUGAUGUAGGCCUAUAACAAAGAAGCACAAAAAUUUAGGGCCAGUAGUUCCUGAAACCAAGUACGGAUGGAGUCUCCCCUACCGACACCUUGAAGGCUGCAGGGUAUAAAGGAGAUCAACUGCCUUGGAAAACAUGAAUAUCAUCAAGACAUCCGAGCAGCUCAUCUGUGGAUCAUGAAUGA